CCCGGCGUACUGGGGCGGUUCAGUCGCCUCAGCCGCGGUGUGAGGGAGCGGGAGUCUUCCUUAGCUUCUCCGCCAUGGGUGUCGCUUCGUAGCCGGGCUGCUCCGGGAAAGGCCUCGUACAGCAAGCUCCGAAGCAGACGUUUACCAGUUUUGCACAACUUUGUCAUGGACCAACUGGCCUUGUGGCUCAGUGGCAUCUGGAGGCAAGAGGGCCAAGUAGACAGGGGUCUCAGCCCCCUCCUCCACAGUCCUGAUGCUGUCUUUCCCAUCCAUGUCUGUCUUCACUGGUCCUGGGCAGCACGCAUUCACCAGAAUCCUGUCAGCUUUCCUCUUCUCAUCCAGACGCCUGGCCAGGAUCCUCGAUAAGACCGUGACCCCCAACUUGGACACCCCAUAAGCUUUGUUCUCAGAAACUUGGCGGCUACAAGGAAUUAAAUGUGAAUGGGAAAGGAAGAAAGAAAAACACAGAUCAUAGAAGCUGUGCCUUCGAGGAAAUAAAUCCUCUUAAGGGGAGGAGGUGUCCUCUUUGAUCUGAGGGCACACCUCUGGGAGAGAGGCCAGAGGCUGACAGUCAGCCUCGUCAGCCAGAUGCGUCAUCAGCCCUGGGAAGGGCUGCACCCACACCACCCUCCACUGAGGUCCAGGUGGCCCCACCGGUCCCGAAACACCUGCUGCCUUACUCUAGAAAGAGUAGGCAAGUUGCGCCCUCUAGUGGCUUAGUAGUUGCUUGUCCUAUUGACUCAGAACCUUGAACAAAUAAGCAAGUCAAAUACAGAUAGAUGGUCCCUGCCCUCUGAUGGUUCCACUUAGGACUUACUGACUUCACUGAUGGAUGAGGAAGCGAUAUGCAUUCUGCAGAAUCUGUACUUGGAGGCCCCAUACAACCAUUCUGCAUUUCACUUUCAGUACAGAUUCAAUAAAUUACAUAAGAUACUCAACAUUUUAUGAUAAAAUAGGCUUUGUGUUAGAUGACUUUGCCAGACUAUAGGCUAAUGUAAGCGUUCAAAGCACCUUGAAGCUAGACGAGGCUGACCUAUGGUGUUUGGUAGGUCAGAUGCGUUAAAUGCAUUUUUUUUUUUUUUUGAGACAAGGACUUGCUCUGUCGCCCAGGCUAGAGUACAGUGGCACAAUCAUAGCUCACUGCAGCCUCAACCUCCUGGGCCCAAGCGAUCCUCCCACCUCAGUCUCUCGAGAAGCUGGAACAUGCCACUAUGCCCAGCUAAUUUUUAAUUUUCAUUUUUUGUGUAGAGCUGGGGUCUCCAUAUGUUGCUCAGGAUUAAGUCCAUUCUUAUGAUAUUUUCUUUUCUUUCUUUCUUUCUUUUUUUUUUUUUUUUUUUGAGAUGGAGUGUGGCUCUGUCGCCCAGGCUGGAGUGCAGUGGCGCGAUCUGGGCUCACUGCAAGUUCCGCCUCCCGGGUUCAUGCCAUUCUCCUGCCUCAGCCUCCCGACUAGCUGGGACUACAGGUGCCCACCACCAUGCCUGGCUAAUUUUUUUGUAUUUUUAGUAGAGAUGGGGUUUCACCGUGUUAGCCAGGAUGGUCUCGAUCUCCUGACCUCGUGGUCUGCCUGCCUUGGCCUCCCAAAGUGCUAGGAUUACAGGUGUGAGCCACUGUGCCCGGCCACAAAAACUUCUUAACCUAAAAAGGUGAAUGGUGAGAAUUGCACUUGUACUCUUGUACUUGCUCAGUUUUUUAGUGGGAUGGGAUCAGAGAAAGCCUGCAGGGAGAACUGCAGGUGCUCUGGAAGGGGAUGGAGUUUUAAAGGUGUCUUAAUACCUUGCAGCUCUCAAGUUCCCAUUCAAAAAUUUAUCGGGAGAAAACUUCCCAACACUGGGUAAAAGACAUCCCUAUAAUGGCUGCGUCCCUAUAUAGCCACAAAAAAGAUAAAAGCUUUCUGACCAAACCUGGAGAGAGCCCCAGACAUAAGGAGUAAAAAAAGCAAAGUGGCAAACAUUGUAUGAAAUGUUACCUUCUGUGUAAAAAGGAGAGUUUUUAAAAUGUGCGUUUAUAUUGGCUCAGAUUUGCAUUUAGAAACUCCAUCCCCUUCAAAGCACCUGCAGUUCUCCCUGCAGGCUUUCUAUGAUCUCAUCCCACUCAGAAACUGACAGAGUACAAGUGCAACUCUCACCAUUCACCUUCUUAGGUUAAGAACUUUUUGCGUCUGAGUGCGGUGGCUCAAGCCUGUAAUCCUAGCAUUUUGGGAGGCCAAGGCGGGUGGAUCACCUGAGGUCAGGAAUUCGAGAUCAAGCUGGCCAACAUGGUGAAACCCUGUCUCUACUAGAAAUACAAAAAAAUUAGCUGGGCGUGGUGGUGCUCGCCUGUAAACCCAGCUACUUGAGAGGCUGGGGCGGAGAAUCUCUCGUACCUGAGAGGCGGAGGUUGCAGCGAGCUGAGCUCAUGCCACUGCACUCCAGUCUGGGCGACGGAGGGAGACUCUGUCUCAGAAAAAAAAAAAAAAAAAAAAAAGGUUUUGCAUCCAGAGAUAAUUUUGUUUGUUUGUUUAAAGUGAUGAGGGUCUUGCCAUAUUUUUCAGCCUGGUCUUAAACUCGUGGGCUCAAGUGAUCCUCCUGCCUCAACCUCCCAAAGUGCUGAGAUUACAGGCAUGAGCCACCACACCCGGCCAAUAAUCCAUAUUCGAAAUGUUAAAUUAAGAAAAGCACACUUCUGGCCAGGCACGGUGGCUCACGCCUGUAAUCCCAGCACUCUGGGAGGCUGAGGUGGGCGGGUCACCUGAGGUCAGGAGUUUGAGACCAGACUGACCAACAUGGAGAAACCCCGUCUCUAAUAAACUACAAAAUUAGCUGGGCAUGGUGGCACAUGCCUGUAAUCCCAGCUACUCGGGAGGCUGAGGAGGGGUAUCACUUGAACCUGGGAGGUGGUGGUUGUGGUGAGCCGAGGUCACGCCAUUGCACUCCAGCCU
rnacentral:lncRNA from 1 species